GAUGAACGCUGGCGGCGUGCCUAAUACAUGCAAGUCGAGCGAACAGACGAGGAGCUUGCUCCUCUGACGUUAGCGGCGGACGGGUGAGUAACACGUGGAUAACCUACCUAUAAGACUGGGAUAACUUCGGGAAACCGGAGCUAAUACCGGAUAAUAUAUUGAACCGCGUGGUUCAAUAGUGAAAGACGGUUUUGCUGUCACUUAUAGAUGUAUCCGCGCCGCAUUAGCUAGUUGGUAAGGUAACGGCUUACCAAGGCGACGAUGCGUAGCCGACCUGAGAGGGUGAUCGGCCACACUGGAACUGAGACACGGUCCAGACUCCUACGGGAGGCAGCAGUAGGGAAUCUUCCGCAAUGGGCGAAAGCCUGACGGAGCAACGCCGCGUGAGUGAUGAAGGUCUUCGGAUCGUAAAACUCUGUUAUUAGGGAAGAACAAAUGUGUAAGUAACUAUGCACGUCUUGACGGUACCUAAUCAGAAAGCCACGGCUAACUACGUG
rnacentral:rRNA from 1 species